rnacentral:rRNA from 1 species
UGCCAGCCGCCGCGGUAAUACGGAGGGUGCAAGCGUUGUCCGGAUUUAUUGGGUUUAAAGGGUGCGCAGGCGGCCUGUUAAGUCAGGGGUUAAAGACAACGGCUCAACCGUUGCAGGGCCUUUGAUACUGGCAGGCUUGAGUCCAUCUGAGGGAGUUGGAAUGCGUGGUGUAGCGGUGAAAUGCAUAGAGAUCACGCAGAACGCCGAUUGCGAAGGCAGAUUUCUAAGAUGGUACUGACGCUGAGGCACGAAAGCGUGGGGAGCGAACAGGAUUAGAUA